GACCUCUGGAAGGGCAGUCGGUGCUCUUAACCACUGAGCCAUCUCUCCAGCCCCCAGUGGUUCCUAUUUGAGAUCCUGCCCUGAUUUCCAUCAAAUGGUGAACUUGGUUGUAGAAGUACAAGCAAAAGAAGUCCUUUCCUUCCCAAGCUACUUUUGGCUUUAUUGCAGCAAUAUAAUGCAAACUUAGGACAACCACAAAUUUGGUCACUCUGGGCACACAGAAGAAACCAUGAAGGGGACAAGUUCCUACUAGACACCAAGUCUAGUGCCUUGAUCUUAGACAUCCAACCGCCAAAACUGGGAGCUGUUCAAAAGUGCUAGGACUGUUCCACACCACAGGCCUCCUGGUGCAGCACACAUGCCAGGGCAAAAGAUGAGGGCACUGCUGUUAUGUGUGGCCUGGGGACACUGAGCUCAGUAAACCAGGUAAGACCUGGUCUUCUGGAGACAGGUUUGAUUUGGUCUGGCAGUUUUGUCUCAUUAGAUUCAUCUCAGUGGGCUAUGAAGCAGAGGGACGUGGAUCUCACUGACAACCCAUAAAAGCUCAGCUGGCCGAUCUUUACAACAGAGCUGAAAAGCCCUUUUUAGAGGCAGAAAACUGUUUCUAGCCUCCUUUGUAGUUACUACAUUCUAAAACCUAGGAAAUCUGUGGGGCCUGCUUCCCUAGACCUCAGAAGGGCCCAGGAUCCUCCAAGAUGCUCAGAAAGUAUGUGGCUGAAUAAACAAAGAAGUCUAUAUCUGUAGUAGCAGCCAUGAGUCCAAUCCCAUUUGCAGGACACAGGUUGCUUCUCUGCAUACUGACUAAAGAGAGCUGACUCUCAGGUAUCUAAAGAUGGAUGUCUGGGAUGUACUUUAUGGUCCUGAUCUUGAUCUGGAAAAGGUGGCUUACCUGCCCUCAAGAGGUCCACUUUCUGCAGGUUGGGAGGCAUGUGCUUUAAGGCAACAUUUUUAAGAUGGGUCUCUGUGUGAUCCAUAUACCUGGAACAAAGAAAGUCAAACGGCUGUAGUGUACAUCAACAGGAGCCACCAGAGCUACCAUGCUGAGCACUGUGGACAAAGCCCAUGCUGGAAGGCAAGCGCAGAAGCAGUUCCAAUUUCCUCACUUACUCUUUGACAAAGACAAACUCCUCUGGAGAAAGGACGGAAGGCUCCCCCGCAGGGCGCAUUUUCUCCUUUUCUAGGAUGUGAGGGAAAAACUUCUCUAUCUGUGAAGAUAAAUAAUAAAAAUGAAAAUUGAUCAUUC